GACGAACGCUGGCGGCGUGCUUAACACAUGCAAGUCGAACGGUGAAGCGCCUUCCUUUUUGGUGGGUGUGGAUGAGUGGCGAACGGGUGAGUAACACGUGAGUAACCUGCCCCCUUCUUCUGGAUAACCGCAUGAAAGUGUGGCUAAUACGGGAUAUUCUGGGUCUGUCGCAUGAUGGGUCUGGGAAAGAUAUUGUUUCGGUGGGGGAUGGGCUCGCGGCCUAUCAGCUUGUUGGUGAGGUGAUGGCCUACCAAGGCGGUGACGGGUAGCCGGCCUGAGAGGGUGGACGGUCACACUGGGACUGAGACACGGCCCAGACUCCUACGGGAGGCAGCAGUGGGGAAUAUUGCACAAUGGGCGCAAGCCUGAUGCAGCGACGCCGCGUGAGGGAUGGAGGCCUUCGGGUUGUGAACCUCUUUCGCCAGUGAAGCAGGCCUGCCUCGUUUGUGGGUGGGUUGACGGUAGCUGGAGAAGAAGCGCCGGCUAACUACGUG
rnacentral:rRNA from 1 species